GAAGACUGUCGUGACAGUCUCACUGGGCUGUAGACCCUGUGUGCAACAAUAUCAGCAGACGCUCCUGGCUAGGGAGGUCAGAGGCGCUAAUGGGGAAGCUACUGCGGCUAUUUUGCUAAAUGAACAUGAUGUGCCUGUCAAAUUGCCUUCUAAAUAACUAUGUUUAUGCCAACAGAUGACGGCUGUUAGCAACUUUGGUCGGAGAAGCUUACGUUUGCCGUGAUCAGCAGUCAGUGUAGAGUCCCACAACUGGUCAGAGUGCUAAGACUAAGUGGCGGCUGAGCUAUGGAUAUAAAUGGGACAUCUGUGCCACCCCCUGCCAAAGCUUGGAGAACACUGUGUAGGAAGGAGCUGCAGAACACUGAUUUCCAGGCAUGGCCUGAUAUGGAACUCCUGAACUCAAAGCGACUGUGAUGACCUGCAGAAGGUCUGUAUAAGAUUGGGCCCAGCAGCAGAGGAGGGGGCAGAUCUCACAGGGUUCUAAUGCUCCCCGAGGGUUUGUGCACAAUGGUUGCUAGGAGAUGGGAAAAGACGAUUUCUUCACUUGUGUAGCCAUUGGCUAGGCACGCAUGCUCAUGAACAAUGACAAAAACAACAACAAAAUCCAACCAAACACCCUUACCAAACACCAUGAUGAUCCUGUCAGUAACCUGAAUGCUAACAGGAGUGGGAAGGAGACUAGAGAAGAUAAGGAAAAUGUAGACUUAAGAUGCAAUAUAAUUUGUUCUCCGAAUGGUGUUUUUGGCAUACAAGACAGAACAGGGAAAUUGUAGGAAGAAAUUGCACCAUUCCACUUGGAAGCAUCCAAUAGCUAUUGAGAUGGUGGCCUGCCACAAGAAGGCAACAUUGUGGCUCCCAGACAUACAGCAGUGACUGUCUCUCAGAACAAUGUCCAGAUCCUAUGAACAGUGAAGUAAAGGAUUAUUGAAAGCAAGAGAGAAACUGACAUCAGCGGAAACAGUUGCUAAUAGCAGAUGCUCCAAAGUGAGGCCUGUGUAGACAGAAUGCAUUUACAGGCUGG
rnacentral:lncRNA from 1 species